rnacentral:snRNA from 1 species
AAACAUGAGGAUGAUCUGGCUCUAACAUGUCAACCCAUUGAUCACCAGAGUUGAUUCAGCUCAUCUGGCUGAGGAGGUGGGAGUCCCCUUCCUCCCUCACUGCUCCAUGUGUGUCCCACCUAGAUCUGUGUACUUAGUCAAAGAGGACAAUUUUCCCUGAAAGAGGAGGACCAUUCCAUAGUCAAGGGUAUAUGAGUAGCUGUGCUUCCCCACUAGAACCUCCAAAUCUCUCAAAGUAGGGAGCUUCUAAUGUAAUUUUGUUUUAUUUUGGUUGGUGUUUUUAUUUCUUUGAGCAAGAGAAAACACAGGUCUUGGUUAAU